CAGCGCCCCGCCCCGCCCUGUGCGACCCUGGCCCAACACGGAUGCUGACCCCUCCCCUUUCCGGCUCAUCCGCUGUUCCGCGGGCGUUCUGGAGUGGAGGUUCGGGCCUCUUCGGACCGUGUAACCGUUCUAACAGCAGGAAGGCAUGGAGCUGCGGCCCCCUGCAGCCCAUGGGCUGAUGGGACUGGGACUUUGCUGCCUCUGAGUGACGCCCUGCCUCUCCCCUUCAGGCCAUUGCCAGGCUCCACUCCCAGUGACGGUUCCUUGCUGUUACCAAGGUCCACUGAGCAGUUGCGAUGGAACCUUACCAGCACAUCAGUCUCUCUUCCCUUCCAUUGCAUCCUGUACCCCUUAGGCCAGGUGAGGGGGGCUGUAUUCUGGGUGG
rnacentral:lncRNA from 1 species